rnacentral:lncRNA from 1 species
CACUCACAUUUUUUAUCCCUUGGAGAAGAAACAACAAAAAAAACAUACAGAAAUCACACCAUAAAGGGGGAACCAUUUUUUUCUUUCCAGGAUCUUCCCCAUUUUUUUUUCCUCUCACAGAUCACAAUAACAAGCAGCAACACUCUCAAUUCUCAUAGAGACCCUCACUCACCAAAAACCAUACACCACAUCACAACAAAUCACGGACGGAAAAGAGGACUCCAUUUUUUGGUUUCUUCUUCACGCACAACAACGAUAAGAUCAGACGCGCGAAGAGAGGGUAGUGAUUGAGAGAGAGAGAGUCACAGAGAGAGAGAGAGAACGCAGGGUUUCGGGAGUGGUUUACUGUUCCGGCGAUAGACUCGCCGGAAUCAUCUUCAGUCAGCCGUCUCCGAUCGAAAACGCGUCGGAAUCGUCUUCAGUUUUCUCCCUUUUGUAGUUCGCCGGAGCUUCGGGGUGACGGGGAGGUGGAUUGUAAACUGUUGAGGUCGCCGGAGCUCCGGCAACACGAAUACAGUGAUUCCGAGUCACCUUCGUCAAAUCCAUCGUUAACAACAGAUCAGCGAUCAGUUCCGGUGACCAACACUUCAAAAAUAGCUCAAGCCGCCUAGAAAUCCAUCGAAAUCACUGAACCAGCCGCACCGCCAGUCCAGUUUUCUCCAAAAUUUGGCAAUCCACUUCCUUUUUCGUUACUGCAGGUGCUCAUCGGAGCUCCGGUGAGUCACGAAACAUCGGAAGAUAACAGGGGAGGGGUCGUCUUAGGUAUUUUGGGAUUCGAGUUCGAGCUUCGUCCGUGGUUCAUUGGUUCCGAGGCUCCAGUGUUGAAAUCAGUUCAAUUGGUCAAAUAAAAGCCUCAAUUUAAGGUCCGUCUCUUUAUCUCAUUCUUAUCCUUAAUUAAUUUUAUGGUUGCGUGUGUUGAUUGCCAUCGUCUCGACUUUUCUCUUAUUUUAUGCGUGAUGUGAAUGAUGAAUGUCGAAUGAUAUUGAUUGGGAAUCGUUGAAAUAUUAUCGUUGAUUUUUUAUGUUGGAAUAUUAGUUGAGAAUCAAUUUGGGUUGGAAUGGAUAAAUCGCUAAAAGGAUGAAUAAUGAUCAAUUUUGAUUUAUUGUUGUUUGGUUUAAUUUGGUUUAAGUAUGAAUAUUGUUGAACACGGUAGUAGCAUGAUUAGGUCGUUAAGUCGAUAGGCAAAUUCUAGGUUUUGGGGUAGGCAACUCAUAAGAUUCUAAUCAUCGAAUGUGUAAAUAUUUGUGUUGAGUGAUUUUUCCUAUUUUUAUCGCAUUAAAAAUGUACUCAUUGGGUUGGGGAAUGCCCUGAGGUAUUUGUGUUGAUUUAUCCGGGCAAUGCCUCGACGUCUCAUGUACCCGAAGGAUGUUCGUGAUGAAGGCCCGAAGCAUCGGGUAAAGCAUUGGAGCAUAGUUUAGAAUUAGUGUAGGUUUACUUUUCUGUACCUUUUUUUAUUUUCGGUUGUAAUAAUUGUACUGAAAAUUAUAUUUGGGAUUUGUUUUGUUUCGUGUG